rnacentral:rRNA from 1 species
GACGAACGCUGGCGGCGUGCCUAACACAUGCAAGUCGAACGAGGUCCAGGGGAGCUUGCUCCCUGAAGACCUAGUGGCCAACGGGUGAGUAACACGUGAGGAACCUGCCCCGGACUCUGGGAUAACCCGGUGAAACUCGAGCUAAUACCGGAUGCCCUCCUCGGCUCGCAUGGCCCGAUGAGGCAAGUUUUUCGGUCUGGGAGGGCCUCGCGGCCUAUCAGCUAGUUGGUGAGGGAACGGCUCAGAAAGGCGAAGACGGGUAGCUGGUUUGAGAGAACGAUCAGACACACUGGGACUGAGACACGGCCCAGACUCCUACGGGAGGCAGCAGUGGGGAAUCUUGCGCAAUGGGCGAAAGCCUGACGCAGCAACGCCGCGUGCGGGAUGACGGCCUUCGGGUUGUAAACCGCUUUCAGCAGGGACGAAGAUGACGGUACCUGCAGAAGAAGCUCCGGCUAACUACGUGCCAGCCGCCGCAGUAAGAC